CAGCAGUAGCCGCGGUAAUACGUAGGGUGCGAGCGUUAAUCGGAAUUACUGGGCGUAAAGCGUGCGCAGGCGGUUGUGCAAGACAGAUGUGAAAUCCCCGAGCUUAACUUGGGAACUGCAUUUGUGACUGCACGGCUAGAGUGUGUCAGAGGGGGGUGGAAUUCCACGUGUAGCAGUGAAAUGCGUAGAUAUGUGGAGGAAUACCGAUGGCGAAGGCAGCCCCCUGGGAUAACACUGACGCUCAUGCACGAAAGCGUGGGGAGCAAACAGGAUUAGAUACCCCCGUAGUCCCUGUCUCUUAUAC
rnacentral:rRNA from 1 species